rnacentral:rRNA from 1 species
GGUUGCGAUCAUACCAGCACUAAUGCACCGGAUCCCAUCAGAACUCUGCAGUUAAGCGUGUUUGGGCGAGAGUAGUACUAGGAUAGGUGACCCCCUCGGAAGUCCUCGUGUUGCAACCC